rnacentral:rRNA from 1 species
GUGCCAGCCGCCGCGGUAAGACGUAGGGGGCCAGCGUUGCUCGGAAUAACUGGGCGUAAAGGGUUCGUAGGCGGUGUGGCAAGUCGGGAGUGAAAUCCUGAGGCUUAACUUCAGGACUGCUUCCGAAACUGCCAUGCUCGAGUGCGGGAGAGGCGAGUGGAAUUGCAGGUGUAGCGGUGAAAUGCGUAGAUAUCUGCAGGAACACCAGUGGCGAAGGCGGCUCGCUGGACCGCAACUGACGCUGAGGAACGAAAGCUAGGGGAGCAAACAGGAUUAGAUACCCCCGUAGUCC